UACAGAGGUCUCAAGCGUUGUUCGGAAUCACUGGGCGUAAAGGGUGCGUAGGCGGCGGGAAAAGUCAGAUGUGAAAUCCGGGGGCUCAACCUCCGAACUGCAUCCGAUACUGUCCUGCUAGAGUUCUUAAGGGGGGUCUGGAAUUCUCGGUGUAGCAGUGAAAUGCGUAGAUAUCGAGAGGAACACUAGUGGCGAAGGCGAGACCCUGGGAAGUUACUGACGCUGAUGCACGAAGGCCAGGGGAGCGAACGGG
rnacentral:rRNA from 1 species